rnacentral:rRNA from 1 species
UCUGGUUGAUCCUGCCGGAGGCUACCGCUAUUGGAGUUCGAUUAAGCCAUGCGAGUCGCGAGAAAUUAGAUUCUCGGCGUACCGCUCAGUAACACGUGGGUAACCUGCCCUAUGCUGGAUAAUAACCUCGGGAAACUGAGAAUAAUGAUCCAUAGUUCACUACGCCUGGAACGGUGAGUGGAUGAAAGCUCCGGCGGCAUAGGAUGGGCCUGCGGCGUAUCAGGUUGUAGGGGGUGUAACGUACCCUCUAGCCCUCUACGCGUACGGGUGUUGGGAGACAUAGCCCGGAGAUGGAUUCUGAGACACGAAUCCAGACCCUACGGGGUGCAGCAGGCGCGAAAACUUGGCAAUGCGAGAAAUCGUGACCAGGGAACUCCAAGUGCAUCGGGUAAGACCGGUGCUUUUCUUGACUCUAAAAAGGUCUUGGAAUAAGGGGUGGGUAAGGACGGUGCCAGCCGCCGCGGUAAUACCGGCGCCUCAAGUGGUAGUCGCUUUUAUUGGGCCUAAAACGUCCGUAGCCGGUCUGAUACAUUCGUGGGUAAAUCAACCAGCUCAACUGGUUGAAUUCUGCGAGGACGGUCAGACUUGGGACCGGGAGAGGUGUGGGGUACGCUCAGGGUAGGGGUAAAAUCCUGUCAUCCUGAGCGGACCACCUGUUGCGAAGGCGCCACACUAGAACGGAUCCGACGGUCAGGGACGAAGCCUAGGGGCACGAACCGGAUUAGAUACCCGGGUAGUCCUAGGUGUAAACGCUGUGGACUUGAU